UCGUAACAAGGUCUCCGUUGGUGAACCAGCGGAGGGAUCAUUACCGAGUUUUCAACUCCCAAACCCUUUUGUGAACAUACCUAUCGUUGCUUCGGCGGACUCGCCCCAGCGUCCGGCCGGCCCCGCGCCGGCCGCGGCCUGGAUCCAGGCGGCCGCCGGAGACCCCCAAACUCUGUAUUCUCAGUAUCUUCUGAAUCCGCCGCAAGGCAAAACAAAUGAAUCAAAACUUUCAACAACGGAUCUCUUGGUUCUGGCAUCGAUGAAGAACGCAGCGAAAUGCGAUAAGUAAUGUGAAUUGCAGAAUUCAGUGAAUCAUCGAAUCUUUGAACGCACAUUGCGCCCGCCAGCAUUCUGGCGGGCAUGCCUGUUCGAGCGUCAUUUCAACCCUCGACUUCCCUUUGGGGAAAUCGGCGUUGGGGACCGGCCGUAUACCGCCGGCCCCGAAAUGAAGUGGCGGCCCGUCCGCGGCGACCUCUGCGUAGUAAUCCAACUCGCACCGGAACCCCGACGUGGCCACGCCGUAAAACCCCCGACUUCUGAACGUGA
rnacentral:misc_RNA from 1 species